rnacentral:tRNA from 1 species
AACGGCGUAGCCGAAUGGAUAAGGCAUCGGUCUUCGAAACCGAAGAUUGCGGGUUCGAGUCCCGCCGUCGUUA